CAGAUCUCUGACUUCCUAGUUUGCUGUGGGAUGUCUUUCUGUAUAUUGUGAAUAUGUGUGGCUCCUAUUGGAUAAUAAAUAAAGCUGUUUUGGCCAACGGCAAGAAAGCUUACAUCCAGGUGGUAAAUCCAAGCAGAGAUACAGAGAGAAGGGCGGAGUUGAGAGAGACAUGAGCCACUGCCAAAGAAGCAACAAGUCAGCAGACCAGUAAUACCACAUC